rnacentral:rRNA from 1 species
CCUACGGGUGGCAGCAGUGGGGAAUAUUGCACAAUGGGCGCAAGCCUGAUGCAGCAUCGCCGCGUGUGUGAAGAAGGCUUUCGGUAUGUAAAGUACUAUCAGCAGGGAAGAAGGUGAUGGUGCUUAAGAAAGAAGCAACGGCUAACUACGUGCCAGCAGCCGCGGUAAUACGGAGGGGGCAAGCGUUAGCCGGAUUUACUGGUGGUAAAGGGAACGUAGACGGUGGGUCGAGUCAGAAGUGAAAGCCCCGGGCUUAACCCGGGGACUGCAUUUGAUACUGCCUAGCUGGAGUGCUGGAGAGGCGAGUGGAAUUCCAUGUGUAGCGGUGAAAUGCGUAGAGAUGAGGAAGAACACCAGUGGCGAAGGCGGCCCGCUGGACAGUAACUGACGUUGAGGCGCGAAAGCGUGGGGAGCAAACAGGAUUAGAUACCCGGGUAGUC